AUGGCGGCCCUUGGGCCACAAGAGAGGCCCGUGGUCUCUCUGUCUUUCCCUCUCUGUGUCUCUCUCUUUAUCUCUCAGUGUCUCUGUUUCUCUGUCUCUGUGUCUCUUUGUGUUUCUCUCUUUAUCUCUCACUGUCUGUCUCUGUCUUUGUCUCUGUCUUUGUCCCUGUCUCUGUGUCUCUCUGUGUCUGUGUGUGUCUGUGCCUGUGUCUCUCUCUGUCUCUCUGUGUCUCUGUCUCUGUCUCUCUGUCUCUGUGUCUAUGUCUCUAUGUCUCUAUCUCUGUGUCUGUGUGUCUCUAUCUGUCUCUAUCUCUGUGUCUGUCUGUCUCUGUCUGUCUCUGUCUGUCUCUGUCUCUCUCUGUGUCUACCUCUCUCUUGUCUCUGUGUCUGUCUCUCCCUGUCUCUAUGUCUGUCUCUCUCUAUUUCUGUGUCUAUCUCUCUGUCUCUGUGUAUCUCUCUGUCUCUGUCUCUGUUUCUCUCUCUGUGUCUGCCUCUUGUCUCUGUCUCUCUCUCUGUCUUUGUCUCUGUGUCUGUCUCUCUCUGUCUCUGUGUCUGUGUCUCUAUCUCUGUGUCUGUGUGUCUCUGUGUCUUUCUCUCUCUAUCUCUGUGUCUAUCUCUUGUCUCUGUGUCUCUCUCUGUCUCUAUCUCUGUUUUUGUCUCUGUGUCUGUCUCUGUCUCUGUGUCUGUGUCUCUAUCUCUGUGUCUCUGUGUCUCUCUCUAUCUCUGUGUCUAUCUCUCUCUGUCUCUGUGUGUCUUUCUCUCUCUCUGUGUCUGUGUCUCUCUCUGUCUCUGUCUGUCUCUCUGUUCAGGCACACUGGAUCCAGCUCCGCUGAGAGGCCCAGGGCUACACCCAACAGGAUAUGUUCUCUCCCUUCCUGCCCUACGUAAUAGGGUGGUGCCCCCACACUGGGUAAAUAUUGAGUCUUGUUCUGGAAAGCCAGUGACACUUCCUGGUGGUCCUUCUUAUGGUUUUUUUGGAGGCUUUUUUUUCAGGGGGAGGGGGCAAGAUCUGAAAACUGCUCCUUUAUUCCCAAGACAAAGCUACAUUGUGUGGAAGAAAUCAUCCCUAACCUGCGCAAGAAAGGAUUUGAGUCAAGUUGGCUUUUUGUUAUCUCUGAUGGCCCCAUGAUGUUACCGUUUCGUCUUUGUUGAAAAUUGCCAACUCAGUUUUCAUUCAAGAAGUCAGUUUGGGUAGAAGCUCCCCAUCCAUGGAAAAUUCAUAUGGAAGAACAAAAGGUCAAGAAUGUCAAGGUUAAUGGGGGGGGGGGAAUGGCCAGCAAGGGAGUCUAUUAUUACCAAACUGUUCUACACAAGCCAUAAUUACUUUUUAAAAAUAGUACCAGUUAAGAAAUAGUUUAAUCAGUGAAACAGAUUAAGUGUACAACAUAUAGAAGAAAGGAAACAUAGUAUCAUGUUCCAUAAACCUAAAGACCUCAAUUACUUGGCUAAGGACUCACUGUUUGACAAAGUGUGUUGGGAAAACCAGAAAACAAUGUGGCCCAACAUCUCACACCACGUAUCAAGAUAAGCUCCAGAUGGAUGUGACCUACAUAUAAAAGGUGGCAUCUUAUGCAAAUUAGAAGAGCAAGGAAGAAACUAUCUUUCAGAUCUAUGGAUAGGGAAGAGUUCACAGAUAAAUGAGUGAUAUAGAGGACCACAGGUAAGAAGUUGGACAAUUUUGCUUAUAUGAAACUGGACCAUGUUUGCAUAAAGAAAUUCAAUGCAGUUAAAAUUAGAAAGGAAAUAAGGAGCUUGGGGGAAUCUUUGCGGUAAAUUUCUCUGAUAAAGGUCUCAUAUCUAAGAUAUAUAAGGAAUUAAUUGAAAUUUAUAAGGUUAAAAGCCAUUCCCCAAUAAAUA
ensembl:lncRNA